rnacentral:rRNA from 1 species
CAAGCGGAUCUCUUAAAGCNGUUCUCAGUUCGGACUGCAGUCUGCAACUCGACUGCACGAAGCUGGAAUCGCUAGUAAUCGCGGAUCAGCACGCCGCGGUGAAUACGUUCCCGGACCUUGUACACACCGCCCGUCACACCAUGGAAGUCUGCAAUGCCCGAAGCCGGUGGCCUAACCACUUAUGUGGAAGGAGCCGUCUAAGGCAGGGCAGAUGACUGGGGUGAAGUCGUAACAAGGUAUC